CGACCGGCGCACGGGUGAGUAACGCGUAUGCAACCUGCCCGUUUCAGCGGGAUAACCCGGAGAAAUCCGGCCUAAUACCGCAUGUGGCCAGGGGAGGCAUCUUCUUUCGGCCAAAGGAGGCGACUCCGGAGACGGAUGGGCAUGCGUGACAUUAGCUAGUUGGCGGGGUAACGGCCCACCAAGGCGACGAUGUCUAGGGGUUCUGAGAGGAAGGUCCCCCACACUGGUACUGAGACACGGUCCAAACUCCUACGGAAGGCAGCAG
rnacentral:rRNA from 1 species